UCGAAUUGCCUGAAGUUAGUAGAAAUCCCAAAGACGCAAAAUUAGUAGAGUCCCAAGAUUCCACAACACGUCCCAAAAAGCAUAUAAACUAGCGAAAACCAAGUGAGAGAUGGUUGAACUGCUUGAAGACGGUAGAAAUCCCGAAGAGCUUAGAGCAAAUCAACACAGUUUAGAAGGACAUUAAAGUUCCCAAACAUACCCC
rnacentral:lncRNA from 1 species